AUUGAACGCUGGCGGCAGGCCUAACACAUGCAAGUCGAACGGUAACAGGAAGAAGCUUGCUUCUUUGCUGACGAGUGGCGGACGGGUGAGUAAUGUCUGGGAAACUGCCUGAUGGAGGGGGAUAACUACUGGAAACGGUAGCUAAUACCGCAUAACGUCGCAAGACCAAAAAGGGGGACCUUCGGGCCUCUUGCCAUCGGAUGUGCCCAGAUGGGAUUAGCUAGUAGGUGGGGUAACGGCUCACCUAGGCGACGAUCCCUAGCUGGUCUGAGAGGAUGACCAGCCACACUGGAACUGAGCCACGGUCCAGACUCCUACGGGAGGCAGCAGGGGGGAAUAUUGCACAAUGGGCGCAAGCCUGAUGCAGCCAUGCCGCGUGUAUGAAGAAGGCCUGCGGGUUGUAAAGUACUUUCAGCGGGAGGAAGGGAGUAAAGUUAAUACCUUGGCUCAUUGACGUUACCCGCAGAAGAAGCACCGGCUAACUCCGUG
rnacentral:rRNA from 1 species